CUUAACCGCAAGGUUUCUUCUGUAGGUCCGGAUGAUGGCACAGGCAUUAAACAGCACAGAGCUCGUCGCUGGGGAGAGGCUGUGCAUUGUGUAUGAAGGGAGAGAUGGAGGAGGGGUUUGAACAGCGUUGUGCAGGAAUGGAAUGCUGGUUACUGCCCUUCAAAGUGCUCUGUGGAUUGGCAUCACGAUGACAACCCAAGGAUGGCAGCAGGAGAUGCAGCACAGCCCUCUCCGGCAGCAGCGUGCAUUGAUUCAUCUUGCUAAUUCUCAAAGGAGAAGGCAGCUGAAUGGGCAGCGUUACUGCAGCUUCUCUGGCAGUCUUGCAGCUACGUCAGGAAGUAGCAGAUGUGGAUUUGAAAGAAGAACUCAGUUCCUGGGACGUUCCCCUGUUCUUCCCCUAGCUGUCCCCUUGCCCCAGCCCAGAUUCCCCUUGCAUUCCUGUAGGUGUCCCUUCCAUCCCCCCUGGCUGCCCCUUGCUUUCCCCAAAAUAACCCAUUACCUUUCCAUUACAGC